CGACGUCAAGUCAUCAUGGCCCUUACGACCAGGGCUACACACGUGCUACAAUGGCGUAUACAAAGGGAAGCGAAGGUGCGAGCUGGAGCGGAUCUCAUAAAGUACGUCUAAGUUCGGAUUGGAGUCUGCAACUCGACUCCAUGAAGUCGGAAUCGCUAGUAAUCGUAGAUCAGAAUGCUACGGUGAAUACGUUCCCGGGCCUUGUACACACCGUCCGUCACACCAUGGGAGUGGGUUGCACCAGAAGUAGAUAGCUUAACCGCGAGGGGGGCGUUUACC
rnacentral:rRNA from 1 species